GCGCCCGUAGCUCAGCAGGAUAGAGCAACGGACUUCUAAUCCGUAGGUCGUACGUUCGAGCCGUACCGGGCGCACCA
rnacentral:tRNA from 1 species